GAGGCCGAGGCAGGGCCCAGCCAGGGCCCAGCCAGGAUGGUUCUCCAGGAGGAGCUCCCAGCCUCUGGCGGUGCUGGUGGGGAGACCUGGCCCAGGUGACAGUCCCUUCUGAACGCGGGUGGAAAAGCUGUCUGCUGUGGCCUAGGAAAGCAGUGGAAGAUGGCCCAAGUGCUUGGGCCCCUGCACCUGCGUGGGAGACCUGGAAGAAGCUCCUGGCUCCUGGCUUCCGCCUGGCCCUACCCCAGCCACUGUGGCCAUUUUGGGAGCAAACCAGCAAAUAAAUGACCUCACUCUGUG